GCGACUGAACUGAGCUGAUUUAUCAUGGGUUGGAGUGUAAGAUCCUUGAGAGCAGAAAAAGUACUGACACAAAUUUGUAACUUCUGUGAAACACCCAGAAGAGUGACUGACACAAAAUAAGAGUAUUUCUGAUCCUACUGUUCCUGAUGCUGUUUGGUGUUUGCUCCUCAUUUUGCUGGAU